rnacentral:rRNA from 1 species
AUUGAACGCUGGCGGCAUGCCUAACACAUGCAAGUCGAACGAGUGGCGGACGGGUGCGUAAUGUCUGGGAAACUGCCUGUUGGCGGGGGAUAACUACUGGAAACGGUCGCUAAUACCGCAUACCAUCAGAUGUGCCCAUAUGGGAUUAGCGUGUUGGUGGGGUAACGGCUCACCAAGGCGACGAUCCCUAGCUGGUCUGAGAGGAUGACCAGCAACACGGGAACUGAGAAACGGUCCAGACUCCUACGGGAGGCAGCAGUGGGGAAUAUUGCACAAUAGGCGCAAGCCUGAUGCAGCCAUGCCGCGUGUAGGAAGAAGGCCUUCGGGUUGUAAAGUACUUUCAGCGGGGAGGCGUUACCCGCAGAAGAAGCACCGGCUAACUCCGUGCCAGCAGCCGCGGUAAUUC